rnacentral:rRNA from 1 species
GAUGAACGCUAGCGGCAGGCCUAACACAUGCAAGUCGAGGGAGAAGCCCUUUCGGGGGCAGAAACCGGCGCACGGGUGCGUAACGCGUAUGCAACCUACCUUUCACAGGGGGAUAGCCCGAAGAAAUUUGGAUUAAUACCCCAUAAUAUUAUUGGAUGGCAUCAUUUGAUAAUUAAAACUGCGGUGGUGAAAGAUGGGCAUGCGUCCUAUUAGCUAGUUGGAGUGGUAACGGCACCCCAAGGCUACGAUAGGUAGGGGUCCUGAGAGGGAGGUCCCCCACACUGGUACUGGGACAGGGACCAGACUCCUACGGGAGGCAGCAGUGAGGAAGAUUGGUCAAUGGUCGGAAGACUGAACCAGCCAUGCCGCGUGCAGGAAGAAUGCCUUAUGGGUUGUAAACUGCUUUUAGAUGGGAAGAAUAAGGCGUACGUGUACGUUGAUGACGGUACCAUAUGAAUAAGCAUCGGCUAACUCCGUG